GACGCACGCUGGCGGCGUGCCUAAUACAUGCAAGUCGAACGCAGUGGGGACGGGUGCGUAACACGUGGGUAACCUCCCAUCAGAGGGGAUAACCCUUGGAAACAGGUGCUAAACCGCUACUGAUUGAUGGACCCGCGGUGCAUUAGCUAGUUGGUGAGGUAACGGCUCACCAAGGCCACGAUGCAUAGCCGACCGGAGAGGAGGAGCGGCAACACUGGGAAUGAGACACGGCCCAGACUCCUACGGGAGGCAGCAGUAGGGAAUCUUCGGAAAUGGACGAAAGUCUGACCGAGCAACGCCGCGUGAGUGAAGAAGGUUUGCGGAUCGUAAAACUCUGUUGUUAGAGAAGCGGGAUCUAACCAGAAAGCCACGGCUAACUACGUGCCAGCCGCCGCGGUAAUAC
rnacentral:rRNA from 1 species